rnacentral:rRNA from 1 species
UACGGGGGGAGCAAGCGUUGUUCGGAUUUACUGGGCGUAAAGGGCGCGUAGGCGGUCAGCACAAGUCAGUUGUGAAAUCUCCGGGCUUAACUCGGAACGGUCAACUGAUACUGUGCGGCUAGAGUGCGGAAGGGGCAACUGGAAUUCUUGGUGUAGCGGUGAAAUGCGUAGAUAUCGGGAGGAACACCAGUGGCGAAGGCGGCUGCCUGGGCCAGUUCUGACGCUGAGGCGCGAAAGCGUGGGGAGCAAACAGG